AUUGAACGCUAGCGGGAUGCUUUACACAUGCAAGUCGAACGAGUGGCGGACGGGUGAGUAAUGUCUGGGAAACUGCCUGAUGGAGGGGGAUAACUACUGGAAACGGUAGCUAAUACCGCAUACUAUCGGAUGAACCCAUAUGGGAUUAGCUAGUAGGUGAGGUAAUGGCUCACCUAGGCGACGAUCCCUAGCUGGUCUGAGAGGAUGAUCAGCCAAACUGGGACGGAGACACGGCCCAGACUCCUACGGGAGGCAGCAGUGGGGAAUAUUGCACAAUGGGCGCAAGCCUGAUGCAGCCAUGCCGCGUGUAUGAAGAAGGCCCUAGGGUUGUAAAGUACUUUCAGUCGGGAGGCGUUACCGACAGAAGAAGCACCGGCUAACUCCGUGCCAGCAGCCGCGGUAAUUC
rnacentral:rRNA from 1 species